rnacentral:rRNA from 1 species
ACGGGAGGCAGCAGUGAGGAAUAUUGGUCAAUGGUCGGAAGACUGAACCAGCCAUGCCGCGUGAAGGCUAAGGUCCUAUGGAUUGUAAACUUCUUUUGUAUGGGAGCAAUAAGGUUCACGAGUGGACCGAUGAGAGUACCAUACGAAUAAGCAUCGGCUAACUCCGUGCCAGCAGCCGCGGUAAUACGGAGGAUGCAAGCGUUAUCCGGAUUUAUUGGGUUUAAAGGGUGCGUAGGCUGUAUUGUAAGUCAGCGGUGAAAUGUUCUCGCUCAACGAGAAAAGUGCCGUUGAUACUGCAGUACUGGAAUUCGGAUGCCGUGGGAGGAAUGUGUGGUGUAGCGGUGAAAUGCAUAGAUAUCACACAGAACACCGAUUGCGAAGGCAUCUCACGAAUCCGACAUUGACGCUGAGGCACGAAAGUGUGGGGAUCGAACAGGAUUAGAUACCCUGGUA